rnacentral:lncRNA from 1 species
CACCUAUCUUUCUCUUGAAGAUCUAUUUACACCCGAUAGGUACAAUACCUUCAAGUGGAUCUACCAAGGUCCAAACUUGGUUUGAGUGUAUCGAGUCAAUUUUUGAUCUCAUUGCCUCUAACCAUUUCUUGAAGUCGAUAUCUGAUAUCGCCUCGUCAUAGGUCUUGGGAUCAUCACCAUGAAUCUCAUUUUUCGUGAG